rnacentral:rRNA from 1 species
CCAGCAGCCCCCGUAAUACGGAGGGUGCGAGCGUUAAUCGGAUUUACUGGGCGUAAAGCGUGCGUAGGCGGCUUAUUAAGUCGGAUGUGAAAUCCCCGAGCUUUUUUUGGGAAUUGCAUUCGAUACUGGUGAGCUAGAGUAUGGGUGAGGAUGGUAGAAUUCCAGGUGUAGCGGUGAAAUGCGUAGAGAUCUGGAGGAAUACCGAUGGCGAAGGCAGCCAUCUGGCCUAAUACUGACGCUGAGGUACGAAAGCAUGGGGAGCAAACAGGAUUAAUUACCCUGGUA